CCUACGGGAGGCAGCAGUGGGGAAUUUUGGACAAUGGGGGAAACCCUGAUCCAGCAAUGCCGCGUGUGUGAAGAAGGCCUUCGGGUUGUAAAGCACUUUUAUUCGGAGAGAAAUCCCUUGGGCUAAUACCCUGAGGGUCUGACGGUACCGGAUGAAUAAGCGCCGGCUAACUACGUGCCAGCAGCCGCGGUAAUACGUAGGGCGCGAGCGUUAAUCGGAAUUACUGGGCGUAAAGCGUGCGCAGGCGGUUUUGUAAGACAGAUGUGAAAGCCCCGGGCUCAACCUGGGAAUUGCAUUUGUGACUGCAAGGCUAGAGUGUGUCAGAGGGAGGUGGAAUUCCGCGUGUAGCAGUGAAAUGCGUAGAGAUGCGGAGGAACACCGAUGGCGAAGGCAGCCUCCUGGGAUAACACUGACGCUCAUGCACGAAAGCGUGGGGAGCAAACAGGAUUAGAUACCCUGGUAGUCCACGCCCUAAACGAUGUCAACUAGUUGUCGGGAAUUAAAUUCUUGGUAACGCAGCUAACGCGUGAAGUUGACCGCCUGGGGAUACGGCCGCAAGGUUAAAACUCAAAUGAAAUUGACCGGNUGAGACGNGCGAGACGACGACGAGGAGAGG
rnacentral:rRNA from 1 species